rnacentral:lncRNA from 1 species
CUUUGAAAUGGUCUUCCAUAGAAAUUGACCUUGUUCAAUUCUGCUAGUUGCUUUGACAGUUGCAUCUUGAAGAUUCUAUCAACCAUGUCUUUGUCAUUUUCCUUAUCUUCUCGCUUGACAUUGUUUUUCACUUCAGCCCCAUUUGGGUUGUAAGACAUUGUUAUAAGAACAUAAUCUGUAGAAUCCAUUCUAUGAUAAACAAAAAUACAGUUAGAAUUUAUGACAAUUUUACUACUGAGAAUAUGUGUAUGACAAAAAUACCUAGUUUGAGGAAUUCCCC